AACGAACGCUGGCGGCAGGCUUAACACAUGCAAGUCGAGCGAGGACUUCGGUCCUAGCGGCGGACGGGUGAGUAACGCGUGGGAACGUGCCCUCUUCUUCGGAAUAGCCUCGGGAAACUGGGAGUAAUGCCGAAUACGCCCUUUGGGGGAAAGAUUUAUCGGAGGAGGAUCGGCCCGCGUUGGAUUAGGUAGUUGGUGGGGUAAUGGCCUACCAAGCCGACGAUCCAUAGCUGGUUUGAGAGGAUGAUCAGCCACACUGGGACUGAGACACGGCCCAGACUCCUACGGGAGGCAGCAGUGGGGAAUCUUGGACAAUGGGGGAAACCCUGAUCCAGCCAUGCCGCGUGAGCGAUGAAGGCCUUAGGGUUGUAAAGCUCUUUCAGCGGGGAAGAUAAUGACGGUACCAGCAGAAGAAGCCCCGGCUAACUCCGUGCCAGCCGCCGCGGUAACAC
rnacentral:rRNA from 1 species